rnacentral:rRNA from 1 species
ACGCGGAGAUAGCUGGUUCUCCCCGAAAUAGCUUUAGGGCUAGCCUCAAGUAGUAAGUAUAGGCGGUAGAGCACUGAUCGGGCUAGGGGCCAUAAAGGUUACCGAACCCUGUCAAACUCCGAAUGGUUAUACUGUAGAGCUUGGGAGUCAGACUACGAGUGAUAAGAUCCGUGGUCAAAAGGGAAACAGCCCAGACCACCAGCUAAGGUCCCCAAUGUCGUACUAAGUGGAAAAGGAUGUGGGGUCUCUAAAACAACCAGGAUGUUGGCUUAGAAGCAGCCACCAUUUAAAGAGUGCGUAAUAGCUCACUGGUCGAGAGACCCUGCGCCGAAGAUUACCGGGGCUAAAGUACGAAACCGAAGCUGUGGCUACGACUUAGGUCGUGGGGUAGGGGAGCGUUCUGUGAGGGCUGAAGUCGUUCUGUAAGGAACGGUGGACUUCACAGAAGUGAGAAUGUUGGUAUGAGUAGCGAAAAGAAUGGUGAGAAUCCAUUCCACCGAAAGCAUAAGGAUUCCUGGGCAACGAUCGUCGUCCCAGGGUAAGUCGGGACCUAAUCCGAGGCAUGGAGCGUAGGAGAUGGACAACUGGCAGAUAUUCCAGUACCGGUAAUGAUUGUUUGAGCGAUGGAGUGACACAGGAGGGCAGGCAGGCAGGAGAUUGGUUGUUCCUGUACAAGCGUGUAGGAUGGGUUGCAGGCAAAUCCGCAACCUGUGAGUCUGAGGCGUGAUGUGGAGGUUCCGGAAACGGAACUGAAGCUGCUGACCCCACACUGUCGAGAAAAGCUUCUAGUUAGAGAAUUACCGCCCGUACCGUAAACCGACACAGGUAUGCGGGGAGAGAAUCCUAAGGUGCGCGGGAGAACCCUCGUUAAGGAACUCGGCAAAAUGUACCCGUAACUUCGGGAUAAGGGUAGCCGCUGUUGUGAAGUCUGAACAGAUGGAGCAUGAGGCGGUCGCAGAGAAGAGGCCCAAGCGACUGUUUACCACAAACACAGGUGCCUGCUAAAGAGAAAUCUGACGUAUAGGUGCUGACACCUGCCCAGUGCCGGAAGGUUAAGGAAGGAUGUCCGGAGCAAUCCAAAGCAUUCGACCGAAGCCCCGGUGAACGGCGGCCGUAACUAUAACGGUCCUAAGGUAGCGAAAUUCCUUGUCGGGUAAG